AUGAAGCUAGAAAUUUCUUACAGUUGCAUUCAUAUAAAUCUACUAAUACAUACUGAAUUUGUGUGUUUUUUAAGGUGGGAAAGUGAAUGUUCAACUUGCGAAAAGGUCCUCAUCUCAAUCUGAACCUUCAAGUCCAGUUUCUUGAACAGCAUCGAUGUCUCCUAUAAGCAGUUUAGGGUCACCAAGCUCGAUAGUCUUUGAGAACAGCACCAACACAGAUCCAAACUGGGCUUACAAGGUUGAUAUUCCAUGGACCAAAAUGGGCAGAGAUAUAACAGAUCCAUUGCAGAAAGGGAAAAGAUUCAUGCCUGAUGCCAGGAGAAAACAUUGUUGAAUCAUUGUUGAUGAAAUCAGAGAGAGGACCUUUCAUGCGACAAAAACACAGUUCAGUGUCAUUGCAAUUGAAUUGUACAGAGGUUUCCAAAGAGUCUAGAGGAUAGGAUAGAAUAUAUCGUUGUAGGAACAGGAUAUGAUUCAUUCGCAAAGCAGCUCCUUAACAGAAAUGACAAUGGGAGUGAAGAUGGGUGUGAAGACAAGUGACGUAGGAGAAUCAAGUGGGAAAAGAAAUGCUCCUCAGGAAGUCCAAGUACACUAUUUGACACACCAUAUUGUUCAAGCUCUAGGUUUGUAAUAAAAAAACUUCACAAACCUUC